rnacentral:rRNA from 1 species
UGCAAGUCGUACGGGAGUUUUUAACUCAAGUGGCGGACGGGUGAGUAACACGUGAGAAUUUACCUUUAGGAGGGGGAUAACAAUUGGAAACGAUUGCUAAUACCCCAUAUGCUUUUUUAAGUGAAACGAAUUCUUUCGCCUAAAGAAAAGCUCGCGGCUGAUUAGCUAGUUGGUAAGGUAAUGGCUUACCAAGGCGACGAUCAGUAUCUGGUUUGAGAGGACGAUCAGACACACUGGAACUGAGACACGGUCCAGACUCCUACGGGAGGCAGCAGUGGGGAAUUUUCCGCAAUGGGCGAAAGCCUGACGGAGCAAUACCGCGUGAGGGAAGAAAGCCUACUGGGUUGUAAACCUCUUUUUUCAGGGAGGAAAAAAAUGACGUGUACCUGAAGAAUAAGCAUCGGCUAACUCCGUGCGAGCAGCCGCGGUAAGACGGAGGAUGCAAGUGUUAUCCGGAAUUACUGGGCGUAAAGCGUCUGUAGGUGGUUUAAUAAGUCAACUGUUAAAUCUUGAGGCUUAACUUCAAAACAGCAGUCGAAACUAUUAGACUAGAGUAUAGUAGGGGUAAAGGGAAUUUCCAGUGGAGCGGUGAAAUGCGUAGAUAUUGGAAAGAACACCGAUGGCGAAAGCACUUUACUGGGCUAUUACUAACACUCAGAGACGAAAGCUAGGGUAGCAAAUGGGAUUAGAUACCCCAGUA